rnacentral:rRNA from 1 species
AGAGUUUGAUCAUGGCUCAGAACGAACGCUGGCGGCAGGCCUAACACAUGCAAGUCGAACGCUGUAGCAAUACAGAGUGGCAGACGGGUGAGUAACGCGUGGGAACCUACCCUAUGGUACGGAAUAACUUCGGGAAACCGAAGCUAAUACCGUAUACCUCCUCCGGGAGAAAGAUUUAUCGCCAUGGGAUGGGCCCGCGUUGGAUUAGCUAGUUGGUGAGGUAAUGGCUCACCAAGGCAACGAUCCAUAGCUGGUCUGAGAGGAUGAUCAGCCACACUGGGACUGAGACACGGCCCAGACUCCUACGGGAGGCAGCAGUGGGGAAUAUUGGACAAUGGGCGCAAGCCUGAUCCAGCCAUGCCGCGUGAGUGAAGAAGGCCUUAGGGUUGUAAAGCUCUUUUGGCGGGGACGAUAAUGACGGUACCCGCAGAAUAAGCCCCGGCUAACUUCGUGCCAGCAGCCGCGGUAAUACGAAGGGGGCUAGCGUUGUUCGGAAUUACUGGGCGUAAAGCGCACGCAGGCGGAUUGAUAAGUCAGGGGUGAAAUCCCGGGGCUCAACCUCGGAAUUGCCUUUGAUACUGUCUGUCUUCGAGUUCGGGAGAGGUUGGCGGAAUUCCUAGUGUAGAGGUGAAAUUCGUAGAUAUUAGGAAGAACACCAGUGGCGAAGGCGGCCAACUGGCCCGAAACUGACGCUCAUGUGCGAAAGCGUGGGGAGCAAACAGGAUUAGAUACCCUAGUAGUCC